UGGGGAAUAUUGGACAAUGGGCGAAAGCCUGAUCCAGCCAUGCCGCGUGUGUGAAGAAGGUCUUCGGAUUGUAAAGCACUUUAAGUUGGGAGGAAGGGUUGUAGAUUAAUACUCUGCAAUUUUGACGUUACCGACAGAAUAAGCACCGGCUAACUCUGUGCCAGCAGCCGCGGUAAUACAGAGGAUGCAAGCAUUAAUCGGAAUUACUGGGCGUAAAGCGCGCGUAGGUGGUUUGUUAAGUUGGAUGUGAAAGCCCCGGGCUCAACCUGGGAACUGCAUCCAAAACUGGCAAGCUAGAGUACGGUAGAGGGUGGUGGAAUUUCCUGUGUAGCGGUGAAAUGCGUAGAUAUAGGAAGGAACACCAGUGGCGAAGGCGACCACCUGGACUGAUACUGACACUGAGGUGCGAAAGCGUGGGGAGCAAACA
rnacentral:rRNA from 1 species